GGCAUUUUCAUCCUUCUGUAUGUUGCAUUUUCUCUGACCGUUCUUCAGUUUAGAAGUGUGCUUACUUUCUUGAGUUUUCAUUUUCUUCUAUCAUGUCUAGCUCACAGAGGAAAUACCAACCAAAAAGAAUAACUUGAGGGACGUGGAGAGAGACUUUCUUUGCACGUAUUACUAUGUGAGGUUGAUUUUUUGUCACUGAGCAUCAGGCACAGGCCUGGGAGGCCAACAGCCUCAUUCAAAUCCCAGAUCCAGCCUUUGUUUACCAGCUGUCUGACCUUGAACCCACCAGGGAACUUCUCUGUGCCUCUGAUUCGUCGUGGGGAAAAUGGUGGUAUCCAGAGUGGCUGGCUGCCAGCUCACAUUGAUGACUCCGGGGCAGUGCCUGGCCUUCAUCUGGUCCUUGCUGCUCCAGCCUUUGCCCUGUUAAUUGAAGGAAUGCUGCCAUAACCACUUCCUGGAGAAUUGGGACUGGACCCCCAGCAGCGAGGAGCCUUGAAGGCUGGAGAGAAAGAGUUUCCAUCAUGGAUCUCUCCUGAGGGAAUAGUCCAGAUUUCCUGAGUCGUUUCCAGGUCGAGGUCCUGUAUGCCUCUUCUGUUCUCAGGACCAGUUCCUGUCAGAGUGGGAAGACCUGAUCUUGGAUAUUUGGUUUUGCUCCUUUGUGAAAAGCUGUAAAGACAAUUUUCCACCCCUAGCUGUAAAGAACUCUUGGUGGGAAAUUAUAAUUCCUUUAGGGAGAUUAAAAUCUCAUUUGGAUUACCC
rnacentral:lncRNA from 1 species